rnacentral:rRNA from 1 species
UUGGAGGGCAAGUCUGGUGCCAGCAGCCGCGGUAAUUCCAGCUCCAAUAGCGUAUAUUAAAGUUGUUGCAGUUAAAAAGCUCGUAGUUGAAUUUCGGGGUUCUUCCGUUGGUCAGGCUAACAAGUCUGUACUAGCGUGUAGAAUCUCUACCUUCUGGGGAACCAUCAUGUUAUUAAUUUAGCGUGGUGGGAAACCAGGACCUUUACCUUGAAAAAAUUAGAGUGUUCAAAGCAGGCUUACGUCUGAAUACAUUAGCAUGGAAUAAUAAAAUAGGACGGUGGUCCUGUUUUGUUGGUUUCUGAAUCACCGUAAUGAUUAAUAGGGAUAGUUGGGGGCAUUAGUAUUCAAUUGUCAGAGGUGAAAUUCUUGGAUUUAUUGAAGACUAACUUCUGCGAAAGCAUUUGCCAAGGAUGUUUUCAUUAAUCAAGAACGAAAGUUAGGGGAUCGAAGACGAUCAGAUACCGUCGUAGUCCUAACCAUAAACUAUGCCGACUAGGGAUCGGACGAUGUUAAAUUUUAUUGACUCGUUCGGCGCCUUACGGGAAACCAAAGUGUUUGGGUUC